rnacentral:rRNA from 1 species
AAGCGGAGGAAAAGAAACUAACAAGGAUUCCCCUAGUAGCGGCGAGCGAAGCGGGAAAAGCUCAAAUUUGUAAUCUGGCGUCUUCGACGUCCGAGUUGUAAUCUCGAGAAGUGUUUUCCGUGAUAGACCGCAUACAAGUCUCUUGGAACAGAGCGUCAUAGUGGUGAGAACCCAGUACACGAUGCGGAUGCCUAUUACUUUGUGAUACACUUUCGAAGAGUCGAGUUGUUUGGGAAUGCAGCUCAAAUUGGGUGGUAAAUUCCAUCUAAAGCUAAAUAUUGGCGAGAGACCGAUAGCGAACAAGUACCGUGAGGGAAAGAUGAAAAGCACUUUGGAAAGAGAGUUAACAGUACGUGAAAUUGUUGGAAGGGAAACACAUGCAGUGAUACUUGCUAUUCGGGGCAACUCGAUUGGCAGGCCCGCAUCAGUUUUUCGGGGCGGAAAAUCGUAGAGAGAAGGUAGCAGUUUCGGCUGUGUUAUAGCUCUUUACUGGAUUCGCCCUGGGGGACUGAGGAACGCAGCGUGCUUUUAGCAUGAGCUUCGGCUUAUCCACGCUUAGGAUGCGGGUUUAUGGCUGUAUAUGACCCGUCUUGAAACACGGACCAAGGAGUCUAACAUGCUUGCGAGUAUUUGGGUGUCAAACCCGGAUGCGCAAUGAAAGUGAAUGGAGGUGGGAAGCGCAAGCUGCACCAUCGACCGAUCUGGAUUUUUUAAGAUGGAUUUGAGUAAGAGCAAGUAUGUUGGGACCCGAAAGAUGGUGAACUAUGCCUGAAUAGGGCGAAGCCAGAGGAAACUCUGGUGGAGGCUCGUAGCGGUUCUGACGUGCAAAUCGAUCGUCAAAUUUGGGUAUAGGGGCGAAAGACUAAUCGAACCA